rnacentral:piRNA from 1 species
UCUUACUUCAGGCCAGAUGAUGAGGUGU